rnacentral:rRNA from 1 species
CGGCGGACGGGUGGGUAACGCGUGGGUAACCUGCCUCAUACAGGGGGAUAACAGUUAGAAAUGACUGCUAAUACCGCAUAAGACCACAGCACCGCAUGGUGCGGGGGUAAAAACUCCGGUGGUAUGAGAUGGACCCGCGUCUGAUUAGCUAGUUGGUAAGGUAACGGCUUACCAAGGCGACGAUCAGUAGCCGACCUGAGAGGGUGACCGGCCACAUUGGGACUGAGACACGGCCCAA